GUAUUUUGUAGUUUAGUGUGAAGGACAAUAGACCUUUCAGGGUCCCAGAGAGAGCCUAUACUGUAUAAAGAACCACUGGAGAAUGUCCUCUGGUCUGAAAAUAUAUACCAAUUGACUUCUGGGUUGUCCUAGGAGUCUUUAUUAAAUUUAAUUUCUAUUAAAAUGUUUGGGGAGCCAGCUCUUGGGAAUACUAAUCAAUAUUAGUUGAACAGUCCCAUGAUGAAUCUUACAUGCACCUUAUUGAUCUGGAAUGAAGGUAAUUUUCUUUUACCUGACAUCUUGUCUGUCUCCUGGCAAGCUCUCCGUUGGCCUCCAUGUGUUCAACCUCACCAGCAUUUUGAGACUCAAGUCAGCAUGGGAGCAGAGAGCGGUCGGGAAGUCACACCAUCCUGAGGAGAAGAUUAAGGCACUGCAGAUAUUGAGAAAGCCACUUGAGGUCACAGUCUGCACAAGAGGGAACAUGUCACCCAGGGGUGGAGGAAGUACAAAGAGGCAUUCAACUGGCACACCAGUCCGAAGGCGACAAGGCGUUGGGUACCGCUCAGACGACUUCGUCCGAGCAUGCGUGUCCAUCACAUCACAGAAAGCAAAAGCUACAAGCAGAGAACUCCGUGUGUACUUUCAUAAUCCUUUCCAAAGAAAAGCCUGCAGCCUCAGGAGAUCUCGAGGCCACAAUGGAUACCGCGAAGGCUUCAGUGUGUGCGGAGAGAGAGGAGCAUCUACAUGAAAUUUGAGGUUGUGUGUAUCUGUGCAUGUUAGUACAGGUGUCAGUGGAGACCAGAAGAGCACACUGGAUCUCUUGGAGCAGGAGUUACAGAUGGUUGUGAACUUUAAAUUCAACUGAAGUCCUUUGGAAGAACAGAGCAUGCUCCUGGCUACCUAGCCAUCUUUCUACCCCUGAGACGAGUGCUUUCUUGAAAACAACUUCUACUGGACAUAAGGCCUCCUCUGUCAGUCCUCAAGAACCUGACCAGAGCUGCACCCCUGUGCCUGUCAUUAGGGAGCUUGCUUAGCAGCAGAGGAAUCCUAGUCCUUCACACCUCUGGUGUGAAGUCCUACUGUGCCAAGUGGGCUUCCUAGGAGCAGUUUCUAGCCAAGUCUCCAUAUGCUUGGUGGGCGGGUGUGGAAACCCGGGUAAGGCUUGGCAGGAGAUCUGCAGAGGGAGCUGUUACAACCCAAACAGUCACUGUGUGCACAAUGCUUCACUCACACGUCUCUUCCAUAUGCCUGGAACCAGUUACUGGAAACUGCAAGACUCUGUGCAACCCCUCAAAAUGACAGAGAAAGUGCCUGGGACUCACGGGACAACUUGGUCUAAUGUCUCCUAGGCAUCCUAAAAGCCACUGAGUAUUUAAAUUAUCAUACAGAGGGAAAUAUACCCAGGUCAGUCCUUCCACUAUUGGACUGAAAUAAAGAUUUUUGGUUGCCCGACUUCUUAGCAUUCAGGACUUGCUCUGGAUGUGACAACUCUCUUUCCUUCUGAUGAGUUUCCAGUCCAACGUCAGAUGCGGUCUGGAAGGAAGCAUUUCUCACAAGCCAAGUGUGAGGACACGUGCUCCGUGCGAGCCACAGCCUUUGGACUCCAUUCUGGACUUUGACUGCUGCGUGGAGUAAGGCUGGAACUAGAGAGAUGUCACUGUGCUGACUCACACUGCACAUGCUCCCAGACAGUGAGCGGGAUCCCCACUGAGGAGUGCAAGGCUCAAGCUGAUAGAACCUGGCCACUGGCUCUGCAGUGGAAGAGAAGGUAGCAAGGACAACCACAGGAGCCCCCCUCCCCAGUUCUUCGGGGUCUGCCUCUCUCUCCCCUCCCUGCUGUGGACCACCUCUGUUGCCUGCUGCCAAGGAGCCCUCCUGCCAGCCCAGCUUUCUUUGCUCCAUCCUCCAGAGCCCUAGAUUCCUGGGUCUCACCCACAGUAGAUGCUGGGCCAGAUUUUCCCUGCCUCUGUUGACUUCCGUCCCUGGGCACUCUGUGCAGCUACGUGUGAAUGGAUGAGUGUAAGAGAGAGGACCCAGGAGGCAAAGAGAGAAAUGAGCGUAUGAAGGGCCGAGUGCUUAGCUGAUGAACACUGAACUUCUGAGACUUAAAAUAUUCCAGAAUGUUCUCCCCUUCAGCUGGACGAUGUUACUAUAGGAUCUUUAGACCCUUUGAGAAAAUGAGAAUAUUCCUAUUGUGAACCU
rnacentral:lncRNA from 1 species